AACGAACGCUGGCGGCAUGCCUAACACAUGCAAGUCGAACGAGACCUUCGGGUCUAGUGGCGCACGGGUGCGUAACGCGUGGGAAUCUGCCCUUAGGUACGGAAUAACUCAGAGAAAUUUGUGCUAAUACCGUAUGAUGUCGAAAGACCAAAGAUUUAUCGCCUAAGGAUGAGCCCGCGUAAGAUUAGCUUGUUGGUGAGGUAAAAGCUCACCAAGGCGACGAUCUUUAGCUGGUCUGAGAGGAUGAUCAGCCACACUGGGACUGAGACACGGCCCAGACUCCUACGGGAGGCAGCAGUGGGGAAUUUUGGACAAUGGGCGCAAGCCUGAUCCAGCAAUGCCGCGUGCAGGAUGAAGGG
rnacentral:rRNA from 1 species